GUUCCAACAGUGUACUCUGAGCUUCCUUGAUGGGCUCCUGCCACCGCAAACCUGAACUGGAAUAAGAAGGUUGCAGAAGCUUCUGCUAUGCAAUGCGUACACCUCUCCGGAUCUAUUUUCACCAUCCUCCCCUGCCACCAGAACAAUAAUUAACAUCAGAUCCCUCCUCCUUUUGGUUGAAAAACUAACAACAACAACGAAAAGAGUACCUUUUUUAAAAAAUCUUUUGGAAGACUAGAAAAAUAUGCUAUGAAAAAUAUUAAUAACAACAAACUCAUCAAAACAAUCUUGAAAACACCAAGUGAACACAGAAGCUCAAACUUACCGACUUUGAAAAGACUUCUGAAAUGAGGGUGUAAUAAUAGACUCCUAUUGCUGGGGUGACUCAUGGGAGGAGUAUUUAUGGAACUACAGAGGAAAGAAGCUAGUGGUGUUGUUUAUUUACCAGCCUUCUCCCCUGAAACCACUCACUACAAUAUAAGUGUCACGGAACUAGAGUCCUUUUUUACUUUUAUUCACUUCACAUCCACAAUGUGUUGAAGAGUCCUUGGGAUACUCUAGCACUCAGCAAAUUAUGUUGAAGAAUAAAUGAAAGAAUGAAUAGCAAGUGUCAAUAAGUGAUGGCUGAAUAAAUGGAGAAAUCACUGGGAUGAAUAAGGUCACUUGAGCUCAUGAGUCUUAUAUCCUAACAAAUUGUUUAUGAUCUAUCCAACAAAAAGGAGUUGUCAACAGAAGUUUUAAAAGAGGAAUUUUUGAAUGUUUGUUUUACCAAUGUUGUUGUUUUACCUGAAAUUAGGGUUGUAGAAUUUAAAAUAAAUUUUGAACUAUAAUUGUGUCUGUAUUUGGUUAGGGAAAUCACCAGUUUUUAUAACCUGUGUAAAUUGCUUAACUUGCUUUAAC